rnacentral:rRNA from 1 species
AGUGGAUGGGGAGCAACCUAUGUUGUGCGUGUGUAAAGAUAGUGCCAAGAAAAGCGAUGUUCAUGUUGAAAAUCAAUUCCCGGUACCCGAAACCGACACAGGUGGGCAAGUAGAGAAUACUAAGGGGCGCGAGGUAACUCUCUCCAAGGAACUCGGCAAAAUGACCCCGUAACUUAGGGAGAAGGGGUGCCACCGAGAGGUGGUCGCAGUGAAGAGGCCCAGGCGACUGUUUAGCAAAAACAUAGGUCUCUGCAAACUCGAAAGAGGAGGUAUAGGGGCUGACGCCUGCCCAGUGCCGGAAGGUUAAAGAAGUUGGUCAGUUUUAGGAUGAAGCUAGCGACUGAAGCCCCGGUGAACGGCGGCCGUAACUAUAACGGUCCUAAGGUAGCGAAACUCCUUGUCGGGUAAGUUCCGACCCGCACGAAAGGCGUAACGAUCUGGGCGCUGUCUCGGAGAGAGGCUCGGCGAAAUAGGAUUGUCUGUGAAGAUACGGACUACCUGCAUUUGGACAGAAAGACCCUAUGAAGCUUUACUAUAGCUUGGAAUUGUGUUCGGGCUUCCUGUGCGCAGGAUAGGUGGGAGGCGUAGAAGGUAUUCUUGUGGGGAUACUGGAGCCAACGGUGAGAUACCACUCUCAGGAGGCUAGAAUUCUAACUUAAUUAAGGACAGUUUCAGGUGGGUAGUUUGACUGGGGCGGUCGCCUCCAAAAAGGUAACGGAGGCGUACAAAGGUUCCCUCAGACUGGUUGGAAAUCAGUCGAAGAGUGCAAAGGCAGAAGGGAGCUUGACUGCGAGAAGUACAGUUCGAGCAGGGUGGAAACACGGUCUUAGUGAUCCGACGGUGCUGUGUGGAAGGGCCGUCGCUCAACGGUAAAAGUUACUCUAGGAUAACAGGCUGAUCUCCCCCAAGAGUUCACAUCGACGGGGAGGUUUGGCACCUCGAUGUCGGCUCAUCGCAACCUGGGGCGGAAGUACGUCCCAAGGGUUGGGCUGUUCGCCCAUUAACGCGGUACGUGAGCUGGGUUCAGAACGUCGUGAGACAGUUCGGUCCAUAUCCGAUGUAGGCGUGAGAAUAUUGAGAGGAGCCUUCCUUAGUACGAGAGGACCGGGAAGGACGCACCGCUGGUGUACCUGUUAUGAUGCCAAUUGUAAACGCAGGGUAGCCAAGUGCGGAGAGGAUAACCGCUGAAAGCAUCUAAGUGGGAAGCCCACCUCAAGAUGAGUAUUCUGGUGUAAGGUCACGGGAAGACGACCCGUAAAUAGGCACGAGGUGGAAGUGCAGAGAUGUAUGAAGCCGAAGUGUACUAAUAGACCGUCGGCUUGACC